rnacentral:rRNA from 1 species
UUCUAAGGGCGGUGAAGUCAGACCGGAAGGACUGGUGGAGCGCUUAGAAGUGAGAAUGCCGGUAUGAGUAGCGAAAGAAGGGUGAGAAUCCCUUCCACCGAAUAUCUAAGGUUUCCUGAGGAAGGCUCGUCCGCUCAGGGUUAGUCGGGACCUAAGCCGAGGCCGAUAGGCGUAGGCGAUGGACAACAGGUAGAGAUUCCUGUACCAGUGCUAAUUGUUUAACCGAUGGGGUGACACAGAAGGAUAGGGAAUCGCACGAAUGGAAAUGUGCGUCCAAGCAGUGAGUGUGAGAAGUAGGC